UACGUAGGGGGCUAGCGUUGUUCGGAAUUACUGGGCGUAAAGCGCACGUAGGCGGAUAUUUAAGUCAGGGGUGAAAUCCCAGAGCUCAACUCUGGAACUGCCUUUGAUACUGGGUAUCUUGAGUAUGGAAGAGGUAAGUGGAAUUGCGAGUGUAGAGGUGAAAUUCGUAGAUAUUCGCAGGAACACCAGUGGCGAAGGCGGCUUACUGGUCCAUAACUGACGCUGAGGUGGCGAAAGCGUGGGGAGCAAACAGG
rnacentral:rRNA from 1 species